CUUAUGGGGGUGGGUGAAGGAGCAGGGCAAAGAGACAGAGCUGAUGUAGACAUAGGGACACUGUCCCUCAGGAUUCCAUACUUGGUGUUCUCCAUCUCUGCAGGCUGGGCUGAAGAAGUUGUAUAGUUCACAUCUGAGGGGGGGUCCUUUGCCGAGCUGCCGGGAGAUAUACAUCCUUUUACUCUGGAGAGGUGGAUUUGUUUCACUCCUGAAGGCCAGCAGCUCUCAGUGCAACAAAUGAAGCAGAGACAUAACACACUCAGCUCAUUGGGGAAAAAAUGAACUGAAGAACCAACCUUCGCACAAAUUGUUAAAAUAAAAAAAAAAUCAACUUUGGAAAAAAAAACAAAACAAACAAGAAAACAACAAAAAACAACUUGAAAAUACAGAAGGAUUGCCAGAAAAUGUGUGUGCCUUCACACACUCCUAUCUGCCCCAAGUCUUAGAUGCAGGCAGACUUCUUCUGCUGGGGAAAAAGGGCACAGCCUGUGGUACUGACAGUUUCUCAUUGUUGGUUGUGAGCCAUGACAGGCAGGUUUCAGAUUCAGUGAGCAAGUAUUGCCUCAUUUAAUUGCGAUGUUGCUAUGGACAAGACACUUAAAAGUAAAUGAGCUUCAAAGAACAUCUGUGAUAAGUUCCUGGCAUAAGCUGGGAGCCUCUUCCUUCAAGUGGGAGAAUGAGAAGAAAUGCAGCAGCUUGAGUGCAGCUGAAUGAGAUGAGAUGGUUGUAGCUCCAUCCCACCUGGCUUCAUGCCUACAGCUGGACUGCGUAAAAACCAGAGCAUGGGACUUGCUCUUUUUAUGAAGAUUUUCUGAGGUCACAAAACAAAGAGGAAGCCUCAUCCCAGAACACCAAACUAGACUUUCACACCCCAGUGAACCCAAUGACACCUCCAACCCAUGUGGAUACCAGAUGUUUGGGCAGAGUUUCUCCUAUGAAGUGUUUUCCCUGUCUUCAUGGCUGGUACACUUGGGCAUGGGGUAAAGAAGAGUAGAUGUAUGUCUAGCCCAGCUCAGGGAUGUGGUGGCUUUUGUUUGCCUCUUUGAGGAAGGAGGAGUGGGAAGUGGUCUCCUGUGGCAAUUGUAGUUGCAUGAGUAAUAAAAUGAGCUUGCCUCAUCUGAACCACUGGAGAAGUCAAGCUUAAAGGUUGACGUGAUGCCUUGCACUCCUGCGUUUCUAGCUCACUCUGUGCUUGCCCAUUUGCUCAGCAGCAGAAGGUGGUGGUGCUGCCCUCCCAUGGGGACAUGGCAUUGCAGGAGGAUGCUGGGUCAUGUUCUCUUCUCAUCCUUGGGAAAUGAGACCCCUCACUUCACUUGGCUUCCAGAUAAUGGAAGCCAAAGCAACUCUUGUUCACAUACAAAUGCUCAGCAACAUAAAGCUUUCCACAAGAAAGAAGAGCAGCAUCAAAAGCAGGAGUUAGUUUUGAGAU